rnacentral:rRNA from 1 species
GACGAACGCUGGCGGCGUGCCUAAUACAUGCAAGUAGAACGCUGAAGCGAGGAGCUUGCUCUUCUUGGAUGAGUUGCGAACGGGUGAGUAACGCGUAGUUAACCUGCCUUGUAGCGGGGGAUAACUAUUGGAAACGAUAGCUAAUACCGCAUAACAAUGGAUGACACAUGUCAUUUAUUUGAAAGGGGCAAUUGCUCCACUACAAGAUGGACCUGCGUUGUAUUAGCUAGUAGGUGAGGUAACGGCUCACCUAGGCGACGAUACAUAGCCGACCUGAGAGGGUGAUCGGCCACACUGGGACUGAGACACGGCCCAGACUCCUACGGGAGGCAGCAGUAGGGAAUCUUCGGCAAUGGGGGCAACCCUGACCGAGCAACGCCGCGUGAGUGAAGAAGGUUUUCGGAUCGUAAAGCUCUGUUGUAAGUCAAGAACGAGUGUGAGAGUGGAAAGUUCACACUGUGACGGUAGCUUACCAGAAAGGGACGGCUAACUACGUG